rnacentral:rRNA from 1 species
UACGUAGGGGGCUAGCGUUGUCCGGAAUCAUUGGGCGUAAAGCGCGCGCAGGCGGCCCGGUAAGUCCGCUGUAAAAGUCCAGGGCUCAACCCUGGAAAGCCGGUGGAUACUGUCGGGCUCGAGUCCGGAAGAGGCGAGUGGAAUUCCUGGUGUAGCGGUGGAAUGCGCAGAUAUCAGGAAGAACACCGAUGGCGAAGGCAGCUCUGUGGGACGGUACUGACGCUGAGACGCGAAAGCGUGGGGAGCGAACAGG